AACGAACGCUGGCGGCAUGCCUAACACAUGCAAGUCGAACGAGACCUUCGGGUCUAGUGGCGCACGGGUGCGUAACGCGUGGGAAUCUGCCCUUCGGUUGGGAAUAACUGAGAGAAAUUUCAGCUAAUACCUUAUAAUGUCUUCGGACCAAAGAUUUAUCGCCGAGGGAUGAGCCCGCGUAGGAUUAGGUAGUUGGUGGGGUAAUGGCCUACCAAGCCGACGAUCCUUAGCUGGUCUGAGAGGAUGAUCAGCCACACUGGGACUGAGACACGGCCCAGACUCCUACGGGAGGCAGCGGUGGGGAAUAUUGGACAAUGGGCGAAAGCCUGAUCCAGCAAUGCCGCGUGAGUGAUGAAGGCCUUAGGGUUGUAAAGCUCUUUUACCCGGGAUGAUAAUGACAGUACCGGGAGAAUAAGCUCCGGCUAACUCCGUG
rnacentral:rRNA from 1 species